AUUCUUGCAGGAUCAUUGUAGGAAGGCAUAAGAGUCCUGCUUACUGGUGAGCCACUGAACACAAACUCCCUUCUCACCUCUGCCUUGGAUCCCGCCAUGCCUGAGGUCUAGGGCUAGAAGCGUUGUUUCAUCCACAUUAAUUCCGGUCUUGGGCAACGUGGCUAUUUUCUGACCUGUCUGUCUUCCCACCCUAGUGGUGAAUUCUCUUUCUGGGAUCUCAACUCCUUCUCCUGUCACCCAGCUUUUUCCGAGCAACCCCAGUCCAUCUGGCAUAUCAUUAGAAUGUUAAACCUAAAACGGUAAGCCAUUCUGUGAAUACCUUUAAGUAACAGGAUAUUAAAAUGAGACUUUUCCUGUUUUCUCAGUGCUAGCUGACAUCUUUGAGCUGAGAAAAAAAAAUAUUGUUAAAAAUGCUCAUCUAUUCUCAGGAGAUGUCAUCUGCUAAGGAGUGACCAAAAAAAUGGUCCAAUAACCCUGAAACCAUCGCUCAAAUCUUAGCUACGCAAGGGGAGACUUGUAAAUUAAUGAGGACGGCAAGGAUUUCAUGAGACAGAGCUUUCAGGCUGCUAAAAUGCUUCCUCCUCCCUUCUCAUGUGUUUUCCCCUCAUCUUACGCAAAUAAGAGGGGGCCUUCAGAGAAUUACUUGGAGAGCUGACCUAGGACCCCUAGGCUUUGGGGAACAUAGAAUGUAUUAGUGUCUAUUGCUGCUGAAACAAAUUAGCACACAUUUAACAGCUUAAAAAUAGCAAAAUUACUACCUCACAGUUCUGUAGGUUAGAAGUCCAGUGGGCGCGGCUGGUGUGUGGGCUUCAAGCCUCACAGGGCUGAAAUCAAGGUGUUGGCCAGGCUGUACUCCCUCCUAGAGGCUCUAAUGAAGCAUCUGUUUCCAGGCCUCUGCGCCUUGUUGGCGGAAUUCAGUUCAAUUUGCCUGAUGGACUGAGGUCCCUGCUUCCCUGCGGGCUGUCGGCGGGAACUGCCACUGGCUCCUUGCAGCCUCUCUCUGAUUCUUGCACAAGGGCACCUACAUCUCAGAGCCAGCGAGAGUGUGAGUGUGUGGAAUCCUUCUCACGAGGCCUCAUCUCUCUGACUUUCGUCGGGAAAUGUUCUCUGCUUUUAAAGGAUCAUGUAAUUAUUUUGAGCCUACCCGAUAAUCCAGGAUAAUCCCCUCAUCUAAAAAUCUGUUACCUUAACCACAUCUGCAAAGUCCCUGUUGCCGUGUAAUGUAAGCUAUUCACAGGUUCUGGGGAUUAGGAAAAGGACAUCUUUGGUGGGGGCCUUAUUCAGCCUACCACAUAGAGAUUAGUACCUGAAAAGCCAGCAGGUGAGAAGCUAGACAGAGCAGCCGGUGGCAGCUAAAGGAGAAAGGGGGCGAGAGCUGGAGAAGUCGCACUUCCGCCGAUGGCGCAGCAAAGGGGAUGUUGCCCUGGAGGACUCAGGGAACGGAACUGGGCUAUCAGCCGAGAAUGGGGCUCCACUCAAAAGGAGGAACCAACAGGAGACACAAGGAACCCCAGCAGGAAGAAGUCGGAGAUGGAGGAGGGGAAGUCAUAGCUGGAGGAGACGUGUGUUAGGAAGCUACAAUGGCAGCUCCCUAGUGGAGGUGUUUCGGAAAAACUCCGAAGAUUCCACUUGAGAAAAUCAUCGGCCUUCAGACAACGUCUAUGCCAGAUAAUGCUACCAAAUCACAACCUUGCCUUUCCUCCCUACUGCUGUUCUGAUGUGGGAGGACCCAAAGGCAGCAGAAGAGCCAAAGAAGAGUAGCAGAAAGGCAUAUCCACAGCUCUUCAAAUAAGCAAUGUGAUGUUAGCAAAAGUGCAGGGGCUCCUUGAGAACUUUCCAGGGCUAACCAGCUGCUGAGGAGUGGCCUCCAGGAAAGAGAGAAGCACUCUGAUUCAGGCAGUGAUUUACACCUAAAAUACCAACUCCAUCAUAUCUUCAGAACAAUUCUUCUAGACCUUGCAUCUAAAUAUGGAGUCAUUAACUAACAACGAACAAAACCUCUGGAUGGCCGAAGGACCUAGGCUAUACAGAAAGCUGUGAAUUACCAAUGAGAACGCAGAUUAGAUCAAAGAUGUCCCUAAGAAGCGUUGAGAUGUCACAAAGUUCUAG
rnacentral:lncRNA from 1 species